GGGGGCGUAAUGGUUUCGACGGGGGUAAGCGGUCUUGAGGAAGCGAGUGGAGGGAAGCAUGAGCCCGCCUUGAAAAAUUAUGCACUAAAUGUAAACGCAGAAGACAAUUUUGCAAUAGCAGCUUAAUAUAGCUGUUCGUUCUACCUAAGAGUCCCACGACUUGGGAUAGGGCGCCGAUUAGUGGGGAACCGAGCUUAGGAAAGCUUUGACCUAGGAACGGAAUUUAUGAAGCUACCGAAGUAAAGAGCUUGCCAGUGGGCGCUUUAUGAAGGGAAUUUUAAAUCACUUGGCUGCACUCGGAGAUGCCUUAGGGUCAUUAUUUUCGGACAGGGGUUCGAUUCCCCUCGCCUCCACCA
rnacentral:tmRNA from 1 species